rnacentral:misc_RNA from 1 species
CCAUGAAAGUAACUAAAAAAUGAUAUAGUUUCCAUACAAGUUUAGAUUGGAGCCCAACUAAAGAGAAAAACUUUUAAGUGUGUUCGAUCAAACGACCACAAGCAUCAAAAUCAUCUAUUCCACAACAUGUUCUGCAGAAUCUAUUGCAAUCAAAAUUACCAUAAGGAAGAACAUACAUGUUCCAUAUGAGCCUGGAACCUAACUUCACCCAAGGAAGUAAAUGUAGGCACACAUUCUCAAAUAAGAAAUCAUACGAGAGUCGAAAGAUAUGACAACAUAAGAACUUAUUAUAGCCAACCCUUGCACAACAAUUUCAUCGUCAUCAGGAAAAUCCCAUUUAGCUACACUUCAGAGUACUUCGAGAACUGAACUUUGCCUAUUUAUGCUUGUUUUCCAGACAUCAGCCACUUCUUCCCCUCCAAUGAGCUGCCUCUUGAUCUUCUGACAUGACAAAAUAUCUAUUGAGCAGCUUUCACCGCCUAGUCUGCCUAUCAGCAUGCUUUUCAUCGUCAUAUCUUCUCCUUCCACUAGAAUGUGAAUCAUCAUGUCUAACCCUCUUGUAUGAAUCAUGACCUCUGUGAUUAUCACGCAUUCUGCUUCUAUGCUCCUCCUCUUGUUCAUACCUUCCACGCUGAGAGUCCCCUUCUUUCUCAUGCUUCCCAUACUGAUCUUCCUCUUCAUCUCUUUUGUGUUUCCUUUCCCAGCGGUCAUCAUUCCUAUUUUCUCUUCUCUCCUGUCCACGCACUUCAAAAUCUCGAUUCUCCCGUCGGCUUUCACGUUGCAACUCAUUCCCACUCUGAAUCUUAUUUUCACGCUCUCCAUCAUUACCUUCAUAUUCUCUGCCGCAUCUUCUUGUCUGUUGAUCUUUACUCCUAUCCUCCGUACUCCUGUAUGACCUAUUUGGGUUCUCAGCUUCAGUAUCAGCCCUUCCAUACUUUUCAUCUUUACUAGAAUCCCUCCUCCUUGACUUCCCUUCACGUUGAUCCGGGCUUUCAUCGUUUAGUUUUCUCUUUCCCCGCAACAACUCCUGACUUGCACUUGAUCCAUCAAUCAAAUACGUAGCCUUAGUAUUAUGUCUUCUCCCUUCCUGAAUCUUCUUGUUUUUAGCAUCACGACCAUCAUCAUUGUAGUCAGAAUCAUGUCUUCUAACUCGAUCACUCCCAUCAGAAUCGUCAUCAGAAUCAUGUCUUCUAACUCUCUGUGACUUCUUGUUUUUAAAAUCAAGACCAUCAUCAUUGUCGUCAGAAUCAUGUCUUCUACCUCUAUGUGAUGUCUUGUUUUUAGCAUCAUGACCAUCAUCAUAUUUAUCCACAUGUGUUUUCUCUUUUUGAACCAUCUUGUUUUUGACAUCAAGGUCAUUGUAAUGGUUAUCAUCAUCGGAAUCAUGUCUUCUACCCUGUUGAAGCUUUAUGGUUUUUACAUCACGGUCAUCAUUAUCACCCACAAAAUGUCUCCUAUGGACUUUCACAUGUUUCUUCUCAUGAUCAGACUCAGAAUAAGAGUCAGAAUCAGAGGAUGAAUCGUCACUGUGAUGCCGCCUUCUAACCUUCUUGUCCUUGAAAGACAACUUUCUUGCAUUUUUACCACCAGCAGUAUCAGAAUCAGAACUAGCAUGAGCCUUCUUACGGGUUUU